rnacentral:snoRNA from 1 species
AACCCAUGGUGAGGGCACCUUCUCAAAAGAUCCUUGUAUCUCUCCCAUGCAUCAUAGAGUGUUUCUAGAUCCAUCUGUGCACAAUUUUCAUUUUGAAUU